rnacentral:rRNA from 1 species
UACGUAGGGAGCAAGCGUUGUCCGGAAUCAUUGGGCGUAAAGCGCGCGUAGGUGGCCACAUAAGUCCGCUGUGAAAGUCAAGGGCUCAACCCUUGAAUGCCGGUGGAUACUGUCGGGCUAGAGUGCGGAAGAGGCGAGUGGAAUUCCGUGGCGUAGCGGUGAAAUGCGCAGAUAUCAGGAAGAACACCCGUGGCGAAGGCGGUUCUCUGGGACGGUACUGACGCUGAGACGCGAAAGCGUGGGGAGCGAACAGG